GGUGUCUCAGUGGUAGAGCGCUUGCCUUGCAUGCAAGAGGCCCUGGGUUCAAUUCCUCAGCACCA
rnacentral:tRNA from 1 species